rnacentral:misc_RNA from 1 species
AAUCUCCUAGAACUGAUGCUAGAUGGUGCUGAACUAACAGACAAAAGCAUUCAUCACAUUGCAAGGUGUGCUAAACUGAACAAACUUCAGAUUUCCUUUUGUGAAGGACUAACUGACCAGGCCCUAAAGUACAUACAGACCCUCCAACAGCUGACCCAUCUGAAGAUGAGGAAAGGUUUGUACUUCUCCACGGACGGACUGCUGUCACUAUUCACCUGUAAAUCCAUGUCCAACCUAGUGGAGCUGGAUUUCUCAGAAAACACCCAGUUUGUGGACGACUGUGUUAUUCAGCUGACAAAGUGCUGCGGCCCCAAGCUUCAGUACUUGGCUCUGUCCUGGUGCUGGGAUAUCUCUGACCCUGGAAUCAUUUCCAUUGUGGACCAUUGCAGGAAUUUAAAGGUUCUGGAUAUCAUAGGUUUGCACAAAAUAACAGGAACCUACUUUAUACGAAUUCCAGAGGAAAUGCCAAAACUUCGACUUCUCAAUUUACAACAGUGCAACAGGAUAAUAGAUGAAUUGAUAGAGGAUGUGAUCAGAAAAAAACCCAACCUUCGAGUAUUCAAUUACUAUGGAGAGCAGUUUGUUCACGAGAAGGGGUGACAUUUACACACCGAGGGGAACACUUGGCAACCAGGAACUUGUUUACUUCACUAAUCAGAUUCCUGAAAAGAAGAUUGUGAUAUUAUCCAAUAAAAGUUCUCUGUGAUAGACCUUUGUGAUGACCUGGUCAGUAGGAAAUAGAAACUUAAAACUGAGGAGACAGCUUCCAUGUAUCCAUCUUUUAAAUGGCAUUACAAAUGUAUUAGUGUGCUCAUUAAAUUAUUUACAAUU